GACCAUCUUCAUAACAAGAGAGAAAAACAAUACGAGUUCAAAGGCCAAAUCUUCGUAAAUGGCUUUUCGCGUCAGUCAACCUUUUUUCUUUGGAAUUAUAUGCAUUGCUUUGGUCUUGAUUUCAGGGCCAGCGACUUGUGAAGAACAAAUGUGCAUAGGCUCAUGCAUGGAGGAUUGCUUUCGUGAUUGCAAUAUUCUUGGUUAUAAGGAGGGUGGUUGUCACAAGACUCGGGGUUCUGAAUAUCCCUUGUGUUGUUGUACUUAACGAGGAAUGACUACAUUCUAUCACUAGCUUCUUAAAGUGUGGCUGAAUAAAAUAUAUAUAUCUUCCGAAUUUUCGUUAAAGAGUUUAUAUAUUAAUUUAUGCCUUUGAUUUAA